GACGAACCGUCCUAACGUUGUUCGGAAUCACUGGGCUUAAAGGGCGCGUAGGCGGUCGGCAAAGUUAGGGGUGAAAUCUUUCGGCUUAACCGGAAAAGUGCCUUUAAAACUAGUCGACUCGAGCGAGAUAGGGGCAUGUGGAACUUCCGGUGGAGCGGUGAAAUGCGUUGAUAUCGGAAGGAACGCCGGUGGCGAAAGCGACAUGCUGGAUCUCUUCUGACGCUGAGGCGCGAAAGCUAGGGGAGCAAACGGG
rnacentral:rRNA from 1 species